rnacentral:rRNA from 1 species
GAUGAACGCUGGCGGCGUGCCUAAUACAUGCAAGUCGUACGGAAAGGCCCUUCGGGGUACUCGAGUGGCGGACGGCUGAGUAACGCGUGGGAACGUGCCCCAAAGUGAGGGAUCACGCACCGAAAGGUGUGCUAAUACCGCAUAUGGUCUUCGGAUUAAAGCUUCGGCGCUUUGGGAGCGGCCCGCGUACGAUUAGAUAGUUGGUGAGGUAAUGGCUCACCAAGUCGACGAUCGUUAGCUGGUCUGAGAGGAUGAUCAGCCAGACUGGGACUGAGACACGGCCCAGACUCCUACGGGAGGCAGCAGUAAGGAAUCUUCCACAAUGGGGGCAACCCUGAUGGAGCAACGCCGCGUGCAGGAUGAAGGUUUUCGGAUCGUAAACUGCUUUUAUAAGUGAAGAAUAUGACGGUAACUUAUGAAUAAGGAUCGGCUAACUACGUGCCAGCAGCCGCGGUAACAC